AGGCAAAAUCUGAAACUCCGGAAGCGGAACAACACCAUCAUUAGUGAAUACUUAAUAAUAAAUCUCUAAUUAAUACAAGUAAAAUACUCUCUAAUGCUACCUCCUCCCCUCCCAAAAAAGGCCGGCGGGGGUGUAGAAACAAACUAGAAAAUUAGAUGAGAAAAGAAAGUCAAAUCAAAUGGGGACCGGAUUUUCGUAUUCAUCAGGCAGAAGAUUAACGUGUGUGUAUGGUAGUAUAAAAAACAAACGCAGGCUCCAGUUCGCUGUCUCAUCAUCGGCCUGGCUAAAUAAUUUCCCAAAUCAAAUCCAUUUUUGGCGGAGAGGAGCAGUCAAAUUCAUUGCACUCUUUAGAACGAGGCGAGAGACGUGUAGAGAGGGAAAUAAGGGCAGACAGAAUUCGAUCAAACGCUCGACCAAUCAAUCAAAAGAUGAUAAGAGUGGGGAUGAUGGUGGAGCUUCUGCAGGAAUACAAGAGUUUGGUAAUGGCAACUCUGAGAGAGCAGAUGUCUCUCCCCACUCCCAGGCCGCCUUCUUUUCUGUUCCUCAGAACCCUUCCCUCUGCCUCAACCGCCAUCCUCCGCCGCCACCACGACUCCGACUCCUCUACUUUCUUCGUCUAUUUCUAGCCACGUUCAAUUAUUCUUCCUUCUCUUCUCAUCGCGGAGCGGCGUCCAUGACGCAUCGAAUCCUUGUUUUUCCGGCACCAGUUUAUUCUUGUCCUACUCUCACGAGUUAUUACAGCAAAUAGCAGUUGUGGUUUUUGCUGGUUAUUGAUUUAUUAUUGUUAUUAUUAUUGAACACCAACGUACUACCAAUACGAGUUUUCUUGAUUUCUUGCUAUUAUUAUUAUCAUCAUCAUCUCCAAUUCAUCCAAAUGUGUUGGACUCUUAGUUGGGGGGAUAAAAUCAGUUAAAGUAAUCCAUAAUUUUUGUUUAAUUCGAGUUUCUCUUAAAGCAAUCCGUCUACUUCCUGCACCUGCCUAUUUAUCCCCCAAAAACGCGUUGGUUGUUUGCAAAAAGUACACGUACCUAAAUAAAUUUGUUCUUUGAUUUUUGUGUAAAGCAUGUUCAGUUUAAUCUUGACUUUCAUCAUUGCAAACACUUCCUUUUAGUAUUUUAUAUAUAUCUUCCCCUUCAGUUUCUUCACACCUCUGUCAUCCUAAAUAAAAUCACAAAACCAUAAAAUUUGCCACUCACUGAAAAUUUUUGGAGAAAAAAUACACACUACUAAUUGAAAUUGUUGUCGAAGGUUGGUUGAACAGCGAUGCUAUGCUGUGUGACGUGAAACGUGAGUUCAUACUCAAACUAGAUUGUUUAUAGUCUCAAAAAUUGAAUUUUGACUAUCGAUUUUUGUUUUCUAUACAAAAUGUUUCCACAAAACUAUAGUAAAUGACUUUAAACAAAUUAAAGAAUAAGCUACUUCCUUGAUUUUAGUGAUUCCCAUAUUUGUGUUCUGUUACUUAAUAUUAAUAAUGUCGGAUAAGUUACCUCCUUGAUUUUAAGGAUUCCAUGUUUGUGUCUAUGGCGUCUCAAAGGAUUCCAUAUUUGUGUAUAUAGCAUAGUAAUAUCGUGAUUUACAAUCGCUGCUUUUAGGGAUUUUCAUGUUUGUUUCUAUCAUUUAGUGACAUCAUCAUUUACCGUCGCUGUUUUUUAGCGCAAUGUCAUAAUUUACCUUUUUAUAGGUGGACUCUGCUAGUAUUGGUUGAGUCAAAACUUGUUCACUAAAAUCCUAUUUAAAAAAUGGCGUUUCUAAAGGAUGAUAAGAAAAUCUAAGUUCACGUCUCUUUUAACUAAUUAGUAGUUGAGGAGUUUUGCUUCCGAGUUAAAAUUUAGAUUGCAUGCUCAGUAUAUGACUAAUAUUUUCUUUUGGUAUUUCCAGACAUGUCAUUGGAUUAUGUACUAUAUUUUCUAUUUCCUAAGCCUACCGGUCAACUUGCAAGUUGAAGAGUACGCUGAGAUCAUAAUCCAAACAGAGCACUCGCGUGUGCUCUCGAACUGACCUGCAAUGAGCCGAACAGCAGGAUUGGCUCUCCAUUGCGACUCCGACGCUCAAAUCAGUUAGGAAGUACAUGGGGCUAGAGAAAGUAAUAGUAUAUGUAGCGUAGUGUACCUUGUUGGAUCCCUCCAUUCCUUAUUUAUAGAACUGCUAGGGAUAGCCCUAAGGAGUCCAAAGUUAUCCCCUACCCACAGUAGUUAUCCCAUUAGAAUACGACAGAAAAAUAUUGCUGUCAGUUUGAUAAUGAUCAAGUGACAUUGCUUCUUCGGACCGAACCGAGAAAUCCCUUAGAUAUGAUGCAGAGCGGAUCUUGUUCUAUCCUUGAUCAAAGAUUUCUCUAUGAAAAAUAUGAAUCGGAGUUUGAAGAGGGAGGGGGAAGGAGCCCUUGACCCUGACAGAUAGAGAAGGAUUUAUUCAAUUACAUAGUUUGGACUUCUAUAAUAUAGCACCCUUGGGCCUUUCUAUUUGAUUGUUUCGGAAGGCCCAAUGAAUUGGGAUUUUCCUAUUGGUCCAGCCAUUUUGGGGCAAGCGGAUCAUUUAUGAUGAAGAAUGAGCUUCAAGAGAAUGAUUCGGAGUUCUUGCAAAAUGAAACCGUGCAGUACCAGAUACGAGAUAGAUCUUUCGGUCAAACAGGCUCAUAUGUUGGACCGAACUGGCUAGAAAACUAACACGUGUCAAUGGACAAUUGGCUCCUCUACACAGGUUAUUAUUGGGUGCUCAUAAUGCAAUUAAAUUGUAUAAUUAUAGGCCAUCCAAACGACUAAUAUAACGCAAAAAUCUCACUGGAGAAACUGUGAUCCUCAAAGCCGGCUACAGUUUGCAAAGCAGCAUGGUCCAUAUGAGCGAGCGAGCGAGCAAGCAAGCGUGUUUCGUAACUAGGAUGAAGAUGCCAAGACACUAAAAUCCAUAAUCGCCAAAACUGAUAGCAUUACAACUUAAAGCUCUGCAUAAGCAAACUCGCAACAGUAGCACCAAAAAAAAAAAGCACAGAGACCAGUCGGCCGUUGAGCCGACAAAUAUUUUUCUCUACUAAGAUGAUCCCGCAAAUGUCAAGCGCAAAAAGGGAAAAAAAAAAAAUGACAAUCCUAGCUAUCAUUUAGGUGAAUGAUUGAACAAAAUGGUGCCCCAUUUCGAACUCUUAACACUGGAAUGCAUCAAAAAUUGGUAAAAACCAUGGUCCAAUUUUAGGUUGUUAGCUCCAUGAUAGCACUGACGAUAUCUCCAUCGUGGGCCUUGAGAGCCUUGACAGCCCUGCACCUCGUCACCCCCGCCUGAGUCAUCACCAAAUCGAUAUCACGAGGCUCGACACCAGUCUCAUCAAUCUCUUCCUCUUCUUCAUCUGCCUGUACUGCAGCACCUGAAGCAGAGAUAUCCGACUUGGCCAUCACAGAGCCCAUGUCCGGCAUCCUGAACUGCUGGGCUGCCUGUGUCUGCAGCUGAGAGCUCAAGUCCUCUAUCUUAGCUUCUCCGAAAUCACGUAGGUAUCAGAAUUUGGGCUUUUGAACACAUCUGGUUUUGAGAUGAAAAACAAUAUCUGCAAACAGUUGAAGACGAUUGGCGAGAACUGAGAAGGGACCAAAACGAGGCAAACAAAAUGAAAUAAACAGAGGAUAGAAUACAGGCCUACAUUUUUGGUUCUCUUAAUGGUGACCCUAGUGACACCAGUAACAGGUUUCAUUCCCAGCUUCAACAUUGCCUUGCGGCUCUUCUUUUCACUCCUGCUCUGCUUUGAACUCUCGUUAGUGCCUGCAAGUAAAUGUCAAUCAGUAUAAUUCAGCAAUGUCAAAGCAACAAGGUGGUUGCAAAGCAAGGAGAACAACCAACACUAGAAUACCACUAACCAAGAGCGACGCAGCUAGUGAAUGUAUCAUCUGAUUCACACGUACUACUAGAAUACACCAUCAUGAACCAAGAAAUGCAGCAGUUGGAACUUUUCAAAAUUUGAGUUGAAUGCAUUAGGGGGGACUAGUCUAAAUAUUUCAACCACAAGAGGAUUGAGGAGGGAACAUACGAUACAAAUAGCAUUUAUUAAUUGCCCACCAAACAUGGAGCACUACAAUCGGUAACCCAACUACUAGCAAACUAAAGCAUGAAGCAGAAGUACUUUAUGACGGACAUAAAUAUAAAGGAAAAAAAACCCCAAAACCGGACAUCUAGAACAGGAAAAACAACAGUAAACAAAUACUGCUAAGAAAACCUUGGGCACCGUCUUCUUUGUCAUCAUCCUCGUCGUCUGAAUCGUCGGCAUCGUCUUCGUGUCGUCUUCGUCUUUCACGUCCCCACUACCGGCUCAUCUCCCUGCAAAUUAAUCCUUUAAAAAAAUUAUUAAGCUAGCACAUCAAGUUAAAAAGGCAAACCGAAAAAGAAAAACAAAACUCGCGCGGAUAAUAACGUCUUGACUGAUAAAAAUAGUUAGAAACAGAAAAGGAAAAAGAAGAUUAAAAGAAAAUUAAGAAGGUAGAAGAAGUUGGUUAGCAAACUGAGAACCUGAACUUUUUGUCGACGUCAAGUUCUUCCACGACGGGGCCCGGCAUGGCUUUCUUUGAUUGCUUCUGCUUGCUUUUCCAGAUGAUGGAGAAACAGAGUGAGAGAGACACACAGCGGGUAGCGACGACUGGAGGAUUAACCUUUGUUGGCGUGAGGACGGAAAGAUUUUGUUUUGGGUUUUUUUUUUUUUUUUUUUUUUGAAACUAGGGUUUUCCACAUAUUGGUGGGUAUGGGCCUUUAGCUGUUGGAUCUAGUGACUUCACGUUCCUGUCCUCAUUUGAAGCCCAAAAUGUUCCUCCCCAUCCUCCUCUUGCUCGCCUGCAUGAUGCCUCUCAUUUCGUUAAGAUUUGUCAUGCUAAUCUUUGGUUUUCGUAUUGACGAGAAAACAUCCAAAUCAUAUUUUUGUUUUUAUCAAAAGAAGGGAAAAAAAUUCAAAUCAUUUUUUUUGCUCAAAAGAAUUAUUUGCAAAAGUUUAUUCGCAAGUAUCAUCAACACAUUUUCUAACCAACUCAGUAUUUUUUUAAAAAUAAAUUAUUUUAAAUAAUUUACCAUCCAAACACGCCCAAAUAAUAUACUAUUGAAGCACAUAUUUACUUUCGUUGUUCCUCUUUUUUUUGCUAAUCAGUUUAUUCCAAAACUUUUCUACGCCCAUAUGCGGCAGAAAAGAACUUUUACAUAAAUAUUAUAGUACUCCCUCCGUCCCACUUUGAUAGUCUUGUUUUUCUUUUUCGUCCGUCCCAAAUUGUAGUCCACUUCCCCAUUAAGGAAUGUAGUAAUCUUUCAAAUUGUCUAAAAUACCCUUAUUAAAUAUCUUGUUAUUAAUACAUUGUUAUUAAAUACUAACUCACUACAUUGAAUACAUUGAACUUUUCCAAUGCACUCUUCGUGAUUAGCAUAAGGGUAUUUUAGGAAAUUAUUAAUCUAAAUUUAUGUUUCCAACCAAAUUAAUUACACUUUCUUAAUCUGUGUGAAAAAAAAAACCAAGACUAAUAAAACGGGACGGAGGGAGUAUAAUUUUUUUCUCUCCUAAGUUAUGAAUGGUCUGCUCUUCGUUUCCUUUUAGCGAUUAUAUCUAUGAUCGUCAUUAAUAUUAGCAUACUAGUUUGUCACUAAAAUUCACAGUUCUGUGCUGCCAUUCGACUGCUGAAACUUUGAGAAAAAAUUCGCACGAUAUCCAAAACGGCGAACCCCCUGUCAUUCACAAUGCGCUGAUUCCUACUCACUGACAUGUAUUGUAUUACUAAUCAAUAUGCUGCAACUGUGGCAAAAACCAAAGAACUCCAAUGCCUGAUCAUCAUCCUAUACGAAAUUUAUUCCGAGUAACGCAACCGAAGUCCAAACCAAUCCACCCAGUCCUUCCAGUAGAAAUGCCCAGCAAAAAGCUACCCUCAAUUAUUUUGUCACCAAGGAAUUUUGGCAUCAGCUGAAAUCCCCAUCCUGCUGUUGUUUUGCUGCAAACACAAACAGUUGGAUUUGGAAUGAACCUGGAGAUUUUUUCUUUUUUCUUUUUUCUUUUUUAAAACAAACUCUGCAACAGAAUGGUAGGGUUAUUGGCACAAUCUAUAUAUGUUGCCAAAUCCUGCACAUUACCGAUCACACCGGAAGGGAAAACCUUAAUUCUGAGUAUUCCGUCAGAUUACCAGUUGGCAAACAACACAUACAAGCAGACUCGAGCGAGUAAUUACUAUUUAUAGUGAGGUGUUCCCUGAAUUCUUUCUGACCUUCCUCCCCGCCCUCAAGCAGCAUUGUCUAUAGCAUGGCAAUGCCCGAAGCUCCAGUCCAGUUUUUGCAAGGAGCAGCCGCAUCACAAACAAAACAAUAGCACUGCACCGUGCAGCAGAUAUUGGUUACAACAAAAAGAAAAUAGUUCCAACAUCACAUCAAGAAGCUGCAGCAAUUAUAGGAUAAUUAUGGAUUGGAUUGACAUCAAAAGAAGAAAGAAAAAAAAAUCAACAUUACCAAAUCACAAUAGCUAUCGUCAGGUGUCUGCCCAAAAGGAUUCUUGACGCAGACAUGUCUGAAAUGUGUGUCCCUACAUGCCACCUGCGGCACCAAAAUGGACAUGUUUUAUUCAAUUACCAAAACAUUUUCAAUUCUGUUCUGGCGAAAUAAUCCCAACAUUAACAGCCGCACUAACUAACGCGGGAAUCAAAGUUGGUAGUAAUGAAAAUGUUUUAAGGAAAAAGAAAAGUACCUUCCCUUUUCCCCAACAAGAGAGACGUCAGGAGAGACACCAUCCACAUUCUCGACAUUAUUCUUGGAGGACACGCUUAAUGUGAGAUCAUCAUCCUCACCAGGAUCAAAAUCUAGGAUGAAACAAUCUUCCCUCUCCUCUAUCCUCUUGAUAUUAUCUCUGUUUUUGAGGCAAAAGACAGGUCUUAAAGGAGUCCCUUUUAGCUCUGAUCCAGGCGACGGUGAAGAGCACAAGUCUAUGACCAUGGUAUCUUCUUCGUCUAUAACACUAGUACCAGCGCAUUUCACUAUUGGUGAUAAGGGCAACUUCUGCAUUUUGGUCAUCACCGGGAAGGAGAAAAAUAUACCUAUAAGCCCCAAAGCUGCUGCCACCAAAGCUAUUUGAAAUAAGAUUUUUUUUUCUUUUUUUUGCAGAAGCUAUUUGAAAUGAGGUGAGGACGUAGGAAUAGGAGGAGGGUGGCGGUAGUGACUAGAUAGACAGUCCAUGGAACCCAAAGAAGUUCCCAAAAUCACUACUCAAUCAUUCUUGAGAUUUGAGUGCUUUGAAGUUUGAACAUUCUUAAGGACGGCCAGAAUCCCAAGAGCGAAACAGGAACUGAAGCGACCCCCCAACCUGUACUCACAGAGCCGACAUUUUACGGGGCUAAGUACAAUUAGUUUUCCUGAACUUUCCCGUUGUAACAUUUUGGCUCCCCUUAAUUUCAAGGGAUAAUUGCAGAAACCUCAGGGGAAACCUCAGGGGAGGUUUCUGACAUUUGCACUGACCUCCCCUGUGGUUUGAACAAUUACACUAAUCUCUCUUGAGGUUACUAAUUCUUUGUAAAUUUAGUCCAAACGAUUAAAAUAUUAUUUUAGGGAGUGAAAUUAGAAUUUUGUACCAAAUUUGUCUUUUGUGCUAUAUAUCCAAUGAAUGACAAAGUACUAUAAAUCAAUUAAUAAUUAAUAAAUUUUAAGGAAUAUAAUUUAUGGGCAAACACGCAUUACUCAUUUAAAGUACCAGCUCUUUACAAGUAUUUUACUUUCAAAUAUUUAAUUUAUGAUAAAUAUAUCAAUAUUUGUAAGUAAAAUUCAAAAAUUGUUAUAGUAAUAUUAUUGCAAAAAGGAAAUCGAUAGGCUAUUUAUUUAAUAUAAAUUAAAUAUUUUUUUAAAAAAUAAAUGGCCCAUAAAAUAUUAAUUUUUAAUGACUUUCAUCCAUUACACGAGUAAAUUAUUCGCUCUUUAUGUGCAUUUUAUUCUGAAUCAUUUAAUUUUUGUUAAAUACAUAAAUGUUUGUAACUAAAAUUGAAAAAGUGUUAUAUUAAUAUUUUUACGGAAGAGAGAUUGGUAGGUUUUGUAUUUAACAAAAAUUAAAUAUUUGAAAAUAAAUACAAAUUUGUAUUUGAGCGUAAAUAUUUGUAUUAAAUUAAAUGUUUGAAAGUAAAAUACCCUUAAACCGGUCCUUUAUAGGCAAACACGCAUUACUCAUUUAAAGUACCAGUUUUUAAGGAUAUUUUACUUUCAAACAUUUAAUUUAUGAUAAAUAUAUCAAUGUUUGUUAGUAAAAUUCAAAAAGUGUUACAGUAAUAUUUUUGCAAAAAGGAAAUUGGUAUGUUAUUUAUUUAAUAUAAAUUAAAUAUUUUUAAAAAAAAGACGCAUAAAGUAUUAAUUUUUUAUGACUUUCAUCCAUUACAUGAGUAAAGUAUUGGUUCUUUAUAAGUAUUUUAUUUUUAAUCAUUUAAUUUAUGUUAAAUACAUAAAUAAUGUUUAUAACUAAAAUUGAAAAAGUGUUAUAUUAAUAUUUUUACGGAAGAGAGAUUGGUAGUUUUUGUAUUUAACAAAAAUUAAACAUUUGAAAGUAAAUACAAAUAUGUAUUUGAGCGUAAAUAUUUGUAUUAAAUUAAAUAUUUGAAAGUAAAUUACCCAUAAAGAGCCAGUACUUUAAAUAAGUAAUAUAUAUUUGCCUAUAAACUAUACUCUUUAAAGUUUAUUAAUUGUUAAUUGAUUUGUAGUAUUUUGUCAUUCAUUGGACAUAUAGUACAAAGGACAAAUUUGGUAAAAAAUUCUAAUUUCACUCCCUAAAACAAUAUUUUAAUCAUUUGGAUUGAAUUUGCAAAGGAUUAGUAACCUCAAGGGAGGUCAGUAUAAUUUUUCAAUUCACAGGAGAGGUCAGUGCAAAUGUCAGAAACCUCAGAGGAGGUUUCUGCAAUUAUCCCUAAUUUCAAAUAUACGGACUUCACCCCUUCAUAAAGUUAUGCAAUAUGACAUUAAUACCCAUACAUAAUGGUUGUAAAUUAAUGCUAAUAUGGAGCAUUUUAUUUUAUUUUAUUUUUUAAAUAGAGUCACAUCAUAUAAAAUAUUUAAAAAAUAAAAGAUGAUGAAAUAUCAAAUAAUUUAAAUUUUGUGUUGUGGAGGAAAAAAAUCCAAAAUUUUUGUGCCAGUGUUCAAUCACUUCUCUUUCUUCCUUUUAUAUUAUAAACAGGCUGGUCUUAAUAAAAUUUACCUACUUUGCAACUUCAACGAGAUUCUCAUAAGUUUAUAAUAUGUGAAUUGGUAUUUUUAUGUCACUAUUGUACCUUGCUUUAUAUCUUAUUUGGAAAAAAAAUCUAGAUUCUCUAAACAUGUUUUUUACUACAUUUUUAUUUUUUAGUCACAUUUUCAUCUUGUAUAAAUUACAUUAAAAAUAGUAUUAGAGUUAAAAAGUUUACAAAAUAAUCUUUAUUCCAAAUGUACUAAUUAAUUUUAUUUCAUUUAAAGUAAGCUUUGAGAUGAACACGUUGAAUUGCUUAGAUCUUUUCUAUUUGCAAUUUUUUAAAUAUUUUUAUACAGUAUAAUUGUAUUCAAAUGGAUUUAGCAACGUUGAAAAAAUAGUACUAAUUUGCUAAGUAACAACAAUAUCUGACACGGUAUAACACCACUUUAAACUUACAUGGUAUAACACCAAUAUCUAAAAGAUAUUAGUACAAAUGAAUGUUAUUUAUAGUAAGCCCCUUAAGGUAUAGCUUGUUUCACCAUUUUAUCGCUUUACUUGCAAAGUCAUUUGUAAAUUCUUAUAUUUUGUAAUGCAAAAUAUAUAUGAUCUUCAAAUCCUUGACACAAUAUUGAACUUAUCAAAUAUACCAUGGGUCUAGAUCUUAAAAAUUUUAUGCCCAAAUUAUAUCUUCAAGAUGUAGGAAAAUGACUAGCUUAUUUCAUGUGAGAAGGGGAAAAUAUAUAUAUAUAUAUAUAUACAUAUUAUUCAAAAACUAAAACGAUAAAAAUAUAAUUAAAAACCUACAAAUACAUAACAAUGUCAGUCUAUUUAUAGAUUUCUAAACGUCUAUGAUGUGUAUACAGAAGCCACAUUCUCUGUGGUAGUUGGAAUAUUUGCUUUACAUGAAAUUAUAGCUUUUCUUCUCACUCUUAACAAUAAUGUUAUGAAAACAUGGUAAUUUUGGCUCGAAAACUUCUAUGGUCAUUUUUUAACUCAUUCUGCUAAAAGGGAUUUUUUUCUCAAAUUUCGACAAUUUAAAAAAGGGGCAUUUUAGCUAUAUCGAGAGGGAUCAAAUCCUAAGGUCGGUGAGUAGUCAGAAGAAGGCAGGGUUUUUAAAGUUUUUUUAGUCUCAAGUUCGGGAUUCAAAUUUCAUUGUCAAGUUCAGACCCUGAGUCCCGUGCAUAACAGUAAGGGAUGAGAAAGCCGUGGGAGAAGAGUGAGAGGGUGUAAAAAAAAAAAUAUAUAUAUAUAUAUAUAUAUCGGACCGUCUGAUAUAAUUAACCCUCAAAAACUUGGACAUAAUAAAUAGGCCCAACCGUUCGUAGAAUAUAUAUGUAGUAAGCAGGCCCAACCGUCCGUAGUACGUAUAUGUAGUAAGCAGGCCCAAUCUUCUGUAGAUCAACUAGGGUUAGACAUUGGGGCAUUUUGGGUCACCAUUGCCUUAAAAUGCAGCUCCUGAUGUACGGCCCGGCAGAAAGUUGUAACGAAGUUUAGAAUGAAACAUCAGCAAAUAAUUGUAAGAUUCGAUUAUCAAGACAUCAGCUAUUCUUUUCCUUGUAAAGAUUAGAAGAAUUAGUGAAAAACAAGAAAAAUAUAAAAAAAAAACUAUUUCUGCUAUUCCAUUAGUACCAUGUUCUAGAUGCCACUUUAUACUCGCCGAGUAUCAAAAUAGUUUAUCAGAAACAAGUGCGUUGUGUAGGUUUCUUAACCUGAAUAUGAGGGUCAUUCCUAUUUGAUCAUUUGAAAACCGUCAAACCAGUGCUUUUAAGGGAUGUCUUGCAGGCAUUUGUUGAACAACGGUUGAUAUUUGAAUGCGAGCAUUCAUACUUGUUACUCUCUUCAAUUAUCGCUUUCCCUCCUAGUUGUACAUGUUAGCAUCCAAACGCGGAAUAAACAACAUUGAGAUAUCAAAUGCACAACAAUUUAAUAGCAAAUAAGCCAAAAACAUGAAAGAUAAACGACACAUAAUAUUUAACGUGGUUCACCUCCACCAUUGAGCAUACGUCCACGAAGAGAAACCUGUUAUUUAUUAUGAAAAGAAAAUCAUGUACAAGAAUACAACUUGAACCCAAGUCCAACCUUUGUAUACCAUCUCUCAUCUUCCAAAAACCCUCUCUCACACCCCAUGUAUAAGGCUACAUGAUGCCGCUUGUGUCUCCUUGUGUGUCUCUGUAGUAUGCCAGUCUACCUAUUUAUAGAGAACAUUACUGCCAAAAAAUCAAAUAACAAUUGGAAACCAAUACUAUUUCCUAAACUCAUAUAGAGUAGAAAAUAGCAUCUAAUUCUAGCUAAAUAGGGAUUUACUUGACUACUAUUUCAAGUAACUAAAUCCAAUUAGGAAACUAGUUACUUCCCACACCAAAUAGGAAUCUUGAUUAAAAGAAAUUAAGCCAAUUUUCUAACAGUUGAUACCUAAUUUUGACCUUCAAUCGAUUGUGAGGAAAGCCAAAUGAGGUGAAUUCGUGAUCGCGAAGAGUUAUAAAUUGCUCACUUUCUAAAGAAUAUAGUAAACAUAACAAUAUACACAACUGCAUGAGAUUUAAUGUUCUAAUAAAGGGGAAGGUGUUUGCUCCAUUUGGAUUGGCAUAUUUUUCAAAAAAUAAUUUUUUUAAAUACAAUGUUACAGUAAUAUAUAAAUAAAAAUAACUCAGAAAAUAUUUUAUCUAUCACCAAAUAUUUCAAAAAAUAUUUAUAAUCAAAAUUUUUCAUAUACAUUGUUACAGUAAAAUAUUUCAAAAAUAUCUCAGAAAACAGUUAUCAUUUCCAACAUGGUUGUCUUCGUUUCUCAAGAGGCACUUAGAACCCUCGGAGCCAAUUGCCAAACUUAGUGCCCCCUCCGCCACGUGUCCUGCUUCGUUAAGUUGUCAUGAAUUUUCUUCAGGCUUUGGUUGGUUGGAUCCAAGUUUCCAUCUUCAUUGCAUUUCUGAAAGGGACCCGUUGGAAUGAUUCCUUAACCUAAACUAACUCCAAAUUGUAAAACUACUACCCCUGUUAUUUCUGAAAGGGACACGUUGGAAUGAUUCCUGUUGUUUCAAUAUUUAUAUAUAUAUCACAAUUUGCUCUGACCCCAAGUACUGGGUUUCGUAUCCCACAUCGACAAACUGGGGGAUUGGGAGGGUAUAUUAGUCUCCUGUGGGACCUUCAAAAGUUGCCGACUUUGAGGGUUGCUCGGGGUUAAGGUUAGUAUAAACUGUCAAGAGUCUACAGCGCUGGACAAAAAAAAAAUAAAAAAAUAGUACUCCGGCAACUCGAAUAAUAUAAAGAAAAAGCAAGAUUGUGCAGUAGGUAGAGAAGUUGGUGAGGAGAGGGAAAUUUUUAGGUUUUACACGUCUGUCACACUUUCGCUACUUAAUUUAUUGAUUUUUGUUGACUUAAAAAUAGCGGGCAGUCGAGAUCAUCAGAGUUGAAAUGGAGUGACGGUCGCCAAUUGCUGCUAGUAAAUGAGCUAUGAAAAUAAAUCCGGUUUGAACAGAAGGAUUUUAUUUUCUUUCUUUUUAAUGUUUAAUUUUUCUCUUGGCAAUGGAGAGAUUAGGGAUAGAGAAUUUCCAAAUCCUUACCGUGAUGCUUGUCCGCGGCUGAACUCUAUUAUAUGUUUGGUUUCUCAACUAAAAGAAUCAAUUCUCCAAAUAAGCCCCGUGAUGAAGCGAAAUCACCAAUUUUGACAUGGUCAAUGUCAGAAUUUUGACAUAUGGAGAGGAAGGUGGAUGAUGGAAAAUCGGAAAUCCCUAAAUUUUAGGGACGAGCAAAUGGUUUGAUUCGAUCACUCUAGACAUCAAAUUUAAGGUCCCGUCCUUCGAAAUGAAGACCAGCACUACGUGGUUUGAUUCGAUCAUUAAUAAAACCCUCUCUACUACUUCAAGACCCCAUUACUCUUCUGUUCAGGACAGUCUUCGAUGGAGUCCCUCCCUUGAUGCCAAGUUUCAAUUGAAAUCAGCAUAUGAGUUAGCUUCGAAUCGUGCCACCACAACCGCACCAAAUUUCAACUUUGAACAGAUAUGGAAGCUAAAAAAUCCAUUUUAUGAAGCUGAACUGAGAGGAGCUGGAGGUAUCUUUAGAGAUUCCUCCGGCUGUUGGAUCAAGGGAUGCAGUCGAAAUCUAGGAUUGGCCGCUAAUAUGAUCGCAGAAUUCUGGGGUAUUAGAGAUGGGUUGGAAUUGACCGUGUCUCUGAAUAUUUUGUUACUGGAAGUGGAAGUUGAUUAUGCUGACAUUUCGACCUUGCUGGAUUCAAAUGAUGAUCCAGACCAUUGUUUUCGUAACUUCGUCAUGGAUUGCAGAUCCUUGCUGUCAUGGCUCCAGCUUGUUAAACUCAAUCAUGUGCAUCAGAAAGUCAACAGAUGUGCUGAUGCUUUAGUAAAAUUAGGAUGCAAAUUGGACGUGCCUUUAGUGAUUUUUUAUCCUGUCCUCGAGAUAUUUCUUUUGCACAUGAUGAGGACAACAGAGGGCCUGUUUACCCCGUAAUGUUAGGUCGGAAUGUAAUACUUAGGCUUCAUCUAUUGUUCUGCCUAAUCUUUAUUAAUGCUAGGUCCUAUUUUUACCAAGAAAAAAAAAAAAGAAACCUAUUUUGACAUAGUCAUAUUCAACCUCCACGAGAAUGUCACUCAAUAUUAAUAUUUUUUUUUUGUAACAUUUCUAUAAUCUAAUCUAUCAUAUUCUAUAGAGAAAUCUAAAGAGACUGUAUAAGGGGUAUAACCUAAUCUAUCAAUAUUAAUAUUUUGUCUGUAUCAUUUUUAUAAUAUAAUCUAUUCUAUACUAUAGGGAGUCUAAAGAGAUUGUAUAAGGGUAUAACCUAAUAUAUCCUAUUCUACAAAGGACUUGGGCAGUUAAACAGACUCGACUAGAUCAAAAAAUGUGCUCUGUGCAUCUCUUUUAAAUUUUUUUUCCAUUGCAUGUGAAAAUACGAGCCACAUAGGGAUUUCAUCCCUUUUUUGUGGCUAUUGAGCCAAAACUCAGUGGUUAAAAUAUCACGUCACUUAAUAUGCUCUCCUGAAAAUACUUUACUUUCAACCGAACAUACCCCACAAUCUUACAUCUUUUCAUAUUAUAUUUUACAUAUAAAAGCUUUUUCUUUCAAGGAACAUGUAAAAGUUCAAUAACUUACAAACUUAUUAUUGAAGAAUCAAGACAAUAGCGUAGUAUCUAAUGUUUAAUUUACAAUAUGGAAAAGUACAAUAAUAAUAUUUUCUUCCUCUUCUUCCUCUUUUCAGUCACGGAUAUGUGAAUGACUGCGUCCGGAUUGUGUUAUUCUUUGACUCUAAGAUGACCUUCGAGAUAACGAAACAAUCGUUUAAAUUGCAAAUAGCGAUUUGAUGAAUCUUUAUUUCACUGGUAUAGGUGUAUAAGUACCAAUCCUGGUGCAAAUGCAUCCGACUAAACUUCAUUUUCCGGAUAAUAGUAGGACAUUUUUUUAAGUAAAACAUCGCACUCAGAAACGCUAAUGCACAGAGAUUAGAUUACACCAGAUCAAGGCGUUGGUGUGCGGUCAGUGGUGGGUGAGGCGGUGGGGUGCGAUGGUGACUUCUACCAACCACCAGACAGUGACAUCGAGCGAGGGUAUGAGGGAAGAAAAGCCCUCCGGAAAAACAAAACAAAACAAAACAAAAACACACACAGAGACACAGGAUUUUUGACGUCAUACAUAGUAUAUAAACUACUCCCCUCUGCUCUACCGGGUGCGUUCAUAUUCCAGUCUCACCUUUUCCUUCGUCCCGGAAGCUUUUCCCUUCACCUUUGAUUCCUCUCCAGCCAAACAAACCUACCCGCCAGGACAUUUCUGAUUUCUGAAGCUGAAGUUGGAGUAAAAAGAAAAAGAAAUCAAAUAAUGGCAGAGGAGGAAGCUUGCUUAUUCGCCAUGAGCCUGGCUAGUGCAUCCGUCCUUCCUAUGGUACUCAAAUCAGCCAUCGAACUUGACCUCCUGGAGCUUAUAGCCAAGGCUGGUCCUGGCGCCUACGUCUCCCCAUCGGAACUCGCCGCACAGCUCCCCACCCACAACCCGGAAGCUCCUAUCAUGCUUGAUCGCAUCCUCCGACUCCUGGCCACCUACUCUGUCCUCGAUUGCAAGCUCAACAAUCUGGCCGAUGGUGGCGUCGAGAGCUUUACGGUCUGGCCCCUGUUUGCAAAUUCUUGACCAAGAACGCUGAUGGUGUGUCCAUGGCCCCUCUUUUGCUCAUGAAUCAAGAUAAGGUCCUCAUGGAAAGCUGGUAACAUCCUCUACCUCUGUCUCUGUCUCCUCAAGUUAUAGUACUCCUGGCAUUAGCAAUACCGCUACUCCAUCCAUAAUAUAACGCAUUCAUGUCUACGUGUGUAUCUUCUUCCUCUUCCUGUAUGCUUGCAGAAUCCAUCAAUGUCUGUCUCAUCCCUUUUUUAACCAACAUCAACGACCAUUCUUUUUUCAAUAGUUAGCUAGAAGACUAAAUUGCUUAAUCCAAAGAUCAAAUAUCAAAACUAACCCCUAUGAAAUUACAAACACGGAACCAAAAUUUUAAAACAUAAAAAUAAAAUUAACACGCACACACUACACAUGGCGCAUUGUGAUAAUACGUGGGACUUACCAGCUUUACCUACUUCAAUUGCGAUGUUUUGUUUGUUCCUUUAUUCAUUGCUGUCUUUCCAAGUUUGCGCGUGCUCAUGGUCAUGAUCCACCAAGAUUUAUUCAAUUCUGCUGAAAAUCGUGCGAGGAAUGAAUCAGUAAACCCUCUGUAAAAAAUAAUAAAAUGCAUCUUUUUUUAAAAAGAAAUUGAGAAAAAAAAAAUGCUUUGAGAUUAUCAAUUAAUGCUGCUAACUCUGGUCCAAUCAGCUCAAAACUCAACUAAUUGAUCCUUUAUAAACUUGUAAUUUGAGCACUUAAAUUAGUAGCUUGCCGCAUUAAUUAUUUUACCUGCUACAGGUAUCACUUAAAGGAUGCGGUUCUUGAUGGAGGAAUCCCUUUCAACAAGGCCUACGGAAUGACUGCAUUCGAAUAUCACGGAACCGAUCCCAGAUUCAACAAGGUGUUUAACCAGGGAAUGUCUAAUCACUCCACCAUUACCAUGAAGAAGAUUUUGGAAGUUUACAGAGGGUUUGAGGGUCUGAAGACGGUGGUCGACGUGGGAGGUGGAACUGGGGCUACGCUCAAUAUGAUCAUCAGCAAAUAUCCCACGAUCAAGGGCAUCAACUUUGAGCUCCCGCACGUCGUAGAGGACGCCCCGUCUCAUUCCGGGGUGGAGCAUGUGGGUGGGGAUAUGUUUGUUAGCGUCCCUAAAGGGGAUGCCAUUUUCAUGAAGUGGAUUUGCCAUGAUUGGAGCGACGACCACUGCCGGAAACUCUUGAAGAACUGCUACCAAGCACUUCCGGACAACGGGAAGGUGAUCCUUGCCGAAUGUGUCCUUCCGGAAGCCCCAGACACCUCGCUCGCUACUCAGAAUGUCGUCCACGUUGAUGUCGUCAUGUUGGCCCACAACCCUGGUGGGAAAGAGAGACUGAGAAGGAAUUCGAGGCCUUGGCAAAGGGGGCUGGAUUCAAAGAAUUCCGCAAGGUUUGCUCUGCUGUCAAUACCUGGAUCAUGGAGCUGUGCAAAUGAAGGCUUACUUGCUUGAAUGAACCCUUUGUUUUGGGAGACGUCAUUUUUUCUCUUGCGUGAUUGGAUUGGUGGUUUCUAAUCAGUAUAGCCGUCUACUAAUGAACCUUCCUUCUGUAUUACUAUUAUUUCACAGCAGCAUUGAAACGGAAUAAGAAAGUGAAUGAAAUCAAUACCUUUUUUUUUUUUGUGCAUGUUAUUUAUAAUUAGUUUUACUUAUUUCCUGAAACUAAAGUGGCAUCAUCCUCCUUUUCCCGUUGUUUCUCAUAUCUAGUGAUGGAAAAAAGCACUGUCCUGAGUAAAUAUUAAUUAUGACAGCCGAGCCCAGUGUCUAGCGUCUAGCGUCGAGUGUCUACUGCCAGGAGGCAGAGUCAAGAGUGGUUUAGGUGAAGCGUCGUGAUAUCCAGGCAAAGUCAAUUGCCUGGGAUUAGGUUUAUUUCAUUCGGCAAAAGUCAAUUGCUUUGAGUCGAAAAAAGACAAACUGCUCGUUAGGAUUAGCAUGCUUAGUUCAUGUGCCGGGGUUCUUAGCUUAGGUUGGGAACACCUAGAGUAGUUUAUCCCACGUCGGGUCGGGGGGUUGGGUUAGUUGGAUAGAUAAGUACCUGGGAUUGUACCAAGAGUUGCCGGCUUUUGGUAUUAACUCUGGGAUUAGGUUUAUUUCAUUCGGCAAAAGUCAUGAUAUCCAGGCAGAGUGGAUCGUGUUGUGGGCCGCAGUUCUGAUAACAUCUGCUACUUUCAACCCAGACACCGCUAUAUCCACCAGAAGGGUCUCGGAGCGUGAUCAUGUAUUAUCAUCCUGGAAAAUUAGCAUGCAAGGAAGCAGUCGAUAUUGAUGAGAUAGUCAAUGAUGUACCUUGCUUUGUAAGUCAUAACAACGCGUUCAUAUAAAGUCUAGAGAUGCCUCGUAUGGUUGCUCAACAAUUAUACAGGGGAAGAAGUAAGCCUGGCAGCAAUUAAUUAUCUGGCGAAAAUUAAAUGGACCAAAGAAGGAUCAUUAAUUUACAAACACAUAACACAAUCAUCCUGUACUCAUAGACCAAGUGCAGAACCAACGAGGGCAGGGAACGAGAGGUUUUUGAGUAAUCCUUACAAGUCUCAAGCACAGACACAUGUAAAGAUUUCUCCACUUAUUUCACCAAAUAAAAAUGAAAAAAAAAAUAAAGAAAGAUUUAUUAAAUUCUGAAUCCCGUUUAUUGUGGCUCGGUCAUGUCAUCUAAGCAGUCGCCCCGAUUGAAGUCAACAACUCUUGAAGCCGCACCCAUGGAUAAAAUCCUUCCUGCUCCGGCCUGGAGUUAACACGCACGGUUGAACCCCUCCACACAACGCACAAACAAAUAUAAAUAACUGGACAGAAGCAGAACAAAUGGAGAAGGUUAUCAUGACAAUGAAAGGACAAGUGCUACUACAUUGGUAUCCCAUCCGUUAUUCACAAAGAGUACAAAUACCAGAAACUAACUAGUUGGAAGCAGCCGAAUAAUGGAAGGGAAAAAAGUUGGGGGACUGAAGGAAGCAAAAACUCAAUGGAAUGCCCGGGAUUCCCAUUAGUUCUUGAAAAGUUCCAAACAGUGUUCCUGGUCCAGGUUCCUGCUCCAGAACUUCUUGUAGUACUGGCAUAGGUGAAAUCCCUGUAUACGACUGGGGAACCAUCUGCUGUGAGAGGCUUCGGGCGCUGAUUACGGCAUGGUCACAGGGACAGAGGAAGGAACGCCUGACAGCCUUGGUUGAUCAGCAUUGACGACAGCUCGAUGCCAUACACUCUUGUAAAUCCCAUUGCUUAGAGCCUAAUUUGAUUAAAGUCACGGGAAUCAAAUCGUCUUCAAAAAUAAUUCUAAUAAAAGGAUCCGACGACGGGGGAAGGUAUACGGUAUACCUGUAACUGAUCGCCGAUGUUGACGACAAAGGCAUCGGGAUGGGGUUUCACGGCUAACCAUCUGCCAUCUCUAAGGACUUGAAGACAGCAGCGACGUUCAAAUCUUGAAGCAGAAUAGUGAGGGCAUUAGGAUCAGUGUGUCCGGGCAAGCCAUAGGUCAAAUCGGGUUGUGGACACGGAGGAUAAUAGUUGACGGCCAUGUGCUGUCCUUGAUCACCCAACACCUUCUUGAUGCAUUCCUUGUCCAGGCCUAGGCUCUCUGCGAUGGCUUCCUCCAAUCUCAACCCAAGUUCCCGUAUUUGUACGCAGUAAUUACUCACCAUUUCCCUAUCAACCCAAAUUAAUUAUUAUAUUUCCCCUCACUAAUUUUUGUGUUUAAAAUAUAUUGAAAAUGUAGUUAAAACCAUUGCCAAAGUCUCCAGUAGUGUUAUUUUCCGGAGGUUAAUUAUGGCUGGUGCUCGAAACUAAGGGUUCGUUUGAGAGUGGAUGAUUUUGAGAGAAAAGAAGGGGAAAGAAGAGAAAGUGAACAUUUUCUUCGCUUGCUAGUUUUUAUUAGGAAAGAAAAGAAGAGAAAUGAAAGGAUUUACGAGGAUAAAUAGUAAGUAAAAGUUUUUCUCCCAAAUUGGAGAGAAAUGGAAAGAAAAUUGGAGGAACCUUAUGAAAGUUUUUUAAAAUACCUAUUUUAUCCUUAAAAAUGUGUUGAACAAAUAUUUAAUGACUUUUAUAUCCAAAAUCAUUCGACUAAUUCUCAAAACUCCCAAACAACACAACAAUCCCUUCUCUUCUCUCCUCUCGUAACUUAAGUUUUCCCUUCUCUCUUUUCUAUCCUAAACUCCCAAACUUAGCCUAAAGUCGGUUCUGAAUUCUGAUGACGACGACCAGGAGGAGCGGAGUCAAAGUCAACACCAGUUUCUCUUUUUUUGGUGGACCGUGGGCUGGUUUCGUAUGAGCAAUCGCAGCCUCGGUGUGUUUAAAAGUGACAAUUGCACUCUGGGCUUUCGUUAUUUUUUUCCACAAAAUCCCUACAUCAUAUGGGGCGAAUUACCCGCAAUCAUAUCAAUCAGGGCCUAGAAAAGCCCAAGCCCAUCUUACACCAUAGGAGCGCUCGGCUGCAGAGGCUACGUCGCAUACCACCGCUGAUUGAAAUAUUGCAAAAAUGGUCCAGCAUCCGCCUGUCCACCAUCGUCAUCCAUCCAUGGCGUCGGUUGAUGAUUCUGGACAGAAACCACCAACGCGGAACACGGUCCCCCCACCCCCCCCCCGGCCAAGCAUUCCAUGCGUUUCGAUGCACGAAAGACCAGAAUAGUCUCUAUUUGGGUCAUUUACGAUCUAGAAAAGAAACUCUUCUUUUUUGUGCUAAAAGUAGAAAGGCCUAGAAAAGAAAACACUUUACAUACUCCCUCUGUGUACAAAUAUAUCAUGAGAUUAUAAACCAAUCCAUUCAGUUUUUUUUUUUUAAUUCCCUCUGUUCCAAAACAGGGCCUUAGUUUGAACUCUCUGUAAAAAAGCAAGAAAAGAGAGCAAAUAUUUGCUUUUUCUUUCCAGGAACCGACCAAGCAUUUUUUUUUCCUUUUUUCCUUUAGUCGCCAGAAUUGACAAAAUGUGUAGGCCUGAAACACGAUGCCCUGAAUGCUUGACUGAAAGGAAAAUCGUAUUCUCUUUAGUCUCCUCCUAUUAUACCAUUCACCCUUUAUUUAUGCUGAUCUGAUGCUGGCAAAACGAUGAUGUAUCGAUAAAUACAUGCAUAUAUGUAUGUACAUAGACAAAAAUUCAUGAAUGCAACAUUAUACUAACUAAUGCAUUAAGCCACCUCGACCCGCCGUAACAUCAAUCAGGGAAACAGUAAUAGUAGUAGUAGUAGUAAACACAGAAUUGAGUGCCCACUCAAUUAUUGAUCGCUAAAAAAUGCAUAUUAUUCGGUGUAUUUGAUCCAAAUUUCCAAGGCAAAGCUUUCAAGCUUACGUUUUCUGGAUAUGCAUUGGAUUGUCAAUUCCUACUAAUUUGGCAGGCCACGACGGGUCUGUUCUUGUUUAUUUCUUUCCAAAAAAAAAAAAAUUCCUAAAGAGAAGUGAUUAUUGGAACCAAAAACAAAAAAGAGCUUAAUAAAAGUACCUUUUUCCAACCUUAGAAAGAAAAAAGAAAAGAAGACAUUAAGAAAAUCACAAAAUCGUCUUCCGCGGAUGGGUCCUACCACGGCCUUUGCCCCUAAACUUUUUCGCUUUCCAAUCUUUCUUUAAAGAAAAGGAAAAAAGGCUUUAACUUUAAGCGCGAUUGGUUUUAAAGUUUUAAUUUUAAUUGAGAAGCAGUGAGCAGUUGUUCAGGACCGACCCCACCGCGCAAAAAAUGUGUGGACCGCAUAAAAUGACAAAAACUGCCGCAAAUGUAGAGUUUGCGUUUGCUUGCCGACUCCUUUGGCUUUGGUUUUGGUUUUGGUUUUGCAGCAAGGGACAGCACAGUCAUUGACACAACCAUACCCUCCCAUCUCUCUCUAUGUACCGGCGUACAUUGUAGGCUAGCAGCACACACACAUGGGGAGGAGGGAUUCGAUGCCUGCCUACGUCAACGCGGAGUUUGUGAUGUGACGUCAUCCGCCAUUUGUUAGACUAGGAAGGGAUUUUUUUUAAAUUUUUCUAGUUGGGGAGGGGGGGCACGGUCAGACAGACUAGACGACGCAUCCUAGAAAACUCCGCCCAACGAACUGUAGCACCAGGACCAGCCUGUACCUGUACGUGGCCUACUAGUCACUGCCACUAAUAAAAUGAGGUCAGCCCUCUAACGUCAUCGGCUGCGUCAUCCCCCUCAUCCAACGGCGCCGAAAGUAUUGAAAAUUGCACUCUGAUCUCAUUCCUCCGAUGGAUUAUUAGAGUGGACAACACUUAAAUGAGUUGCACAUGACGCAUCACCUUCUAGUACGCGGCCCUCCUAUUACUCUUCUUCUUCUAUACACUACUGAGUACGAGUACUAGCAUUCUAGCGCACUCCACUAGCACCCCCCCCCCCCCCUCCCCAAAAAAAAAAAAGAGGAAAAUCUUGGACAUACUUUUCGAGCAGUGGAGUGUUACUUUUCAACACCCGCGGAUGGAAGAUUUCUCAUUCUCACAGCAGCUGAUUGAAUAGUUCACACCCGCGGUGGCUUUUCAAUUUUCUAAUGCUCAACUUUUUUUUUGAAUAUAAUACUGGUACUAGUGAUGAAGGUUUGAUCCUGCCAUCAUUCAAGAAUCCGGAGGAGGAGAUUAAUUGAAACUAGUCACCGCAAUUUAAGGUCAGAGGUGGACCGGACCUUUAAUUGUUCUUUCCAAUCACUUCUCGUAAUUAGUAUAGACAGAAGAAGAAGAAGAAUUUUGAUCGGAAAGAACAAACCCUCCUAGGAAACUUGCGAAAGUUGCACAUUAUGAAAUUCAUGGCUAAACUGUUAGGCCAAUUUUAAAGUUCAGCUUCACCUAAACUGCUAGAUUUUUAAAUUCAAAUAAAUAAAUAUAAAAUCACGGCGUUCAAAUUGAUCUUCCUCUGUUGUCGCAGCACCUACAACGGAGUCCCUGGAUGCACCUAGCAAUAAUUGUAAUUGCUAGGUGCAUCCAGGGAGCAUUUCUAUAAAGACUUUCGUCCUAUUUGCUUUUACGAGCACGUUGCUUAAAGUACUACACCACCACCACCGCCACUACUACGAGUUCAGUGCAAUGCAUUUGUUGUUUUUUUUUUUUUUUAAAAAAAAAAAAGAAAAAAAAGAGUAUAAUAAAAACGUCUUGGUGCCCACACGGAGACUCCACUGCGUGCGGGACAUCCAUAGUCGCGAAACCUUUCAUACAAACAAAGGAAGCCAUGAGAUGUUGGAACACGACCGCAACACCCGGGAGAGUGCGAGGAACAUUAGUAUUUGGAUUGAAUAGUUAGUUUGGAUGACCUCAUAAAAUGGAAAGUUUCGCUUUUGAAAUCAUGAAAAGAUCAAAGCAUAACAGGAAAAAGAACAAGCACAAGUUCUCAAUUCUGAACCAAUUUACAGGAUUUUUAGUAGGGCCAUGGUCAAUUCGGUAAUUGUACUGCGUAUCUUUGUCAUGGUACUUGAGACGGGACUCGGAAUUUUUAUUACCUAUUUAAUAAAGAGUCUAGAAACGAAUCACGUGUAAAAGAUCUCUUUGUUGCCAUAAUAUUAUCAGACGCGUACGCGAUAAAUGUUACUGUGUUAAUUAAUUGCAAUGUUAAUUAAUUACAUGAAGGUAGUCCACCUAAUCCCCUCCACCAUGCAAUCAGAGUGGCCACCUAAAUGAAGGGAUAAAUAGAUGAUCGUGAAAAUGGGAGAAAGAACUUUGCUGACGAUUUGCAUUACUUGCAUUAUCAUCUCACGGCAGGAGCAACAGUAGUAUCUAGUAGUAAUGCAAUCAGGAGACGGAGACAGAUUCAGAAGAGUAAACUUACUUGAAAGAUGGCGGGUUGAAGGCCAUUCGGGGACAUAUUUUCCAAGGGAUAGCAGUGAAGCCGCAGAUAGUCUCUCCAAUUGUGCACGGUCUCCUUUUUCACAUUAAAGCUUGUUGAAAGCCUCGUGGUUUUGGAUGGAUCGUCGGAGUACAACUUGAGCUUCUCUUCAACCGGAACUGAAGAAUUCCGUCGCCGUCUCAAGCAUUUUGUCCACCGCAUCCUUGGAAACCCCGUGAUUUAUUACUGGUGAAGUGAUCCACAGAAAAAAAUUAGGGAUAUUUCCAUGUGACACGAAUGAUAAAUCUCUGGAGCAAGACGUGCGGUACUUUUUCACCAUAAAUGAAAAUGCCGGAGAAAGGGAAAAAGAGUCUGAAGCUGAAAUGAAAACCGCUGGAAAAAUGAAAUAUUAGUUUGCGAACCUGGAAAAAACCAUAGUCCCGACACGCAUCGCCAAUUUGUCGGACCACGAGGUUCCUAUCCCCGAAGCCUAGGUCAACUACCGGGACAUUUUGGCAAUCGGAAACUUCAGAGAGUCUUGGCCUUUCGGAUUCUGGACGGACGUAGCUUUCGGGGAGGCUCGUAUACUUGAUUCCGCUGGAAAUAACUUUAGUUUCCAUGGAACUUGCAGGCCACUGGAAAGUAGAAACAUAAAAUAAAUAUAAAAAUUAAGAAGGGAUGCUGAAGCAGGCCGUAACCGUUAGGACGAGUACAGUGCUGCACCGCCGCUCCAAUUAUUUAGGCUUUAGGCUUCUGCCUGGAAAUUGCUUUCGUCCCCCUGCGUAUAUAUAUAAUUAUACGUAAGGCUCUCCCCUUGGCAGCGAUGGUACGGAAGAAGUAGUUUUGGUUGACUCAAAGUCUACAACCAAUCGCUAUUUUACACUUCGACUUUUGGGCACGCCCUUCUUUUUUUUUUUUUUUUUUUUGGGAUAAUUGCAGGUUUCUGACAUUUGCACUGACCUCUCAUGUGGUUUUAAAAAUUACACUGCCCUCCCCUGAGAUUACUAAUUCUUUGCAAAUUUAGUCCAAACGAUUAAAAUAUUAUUUUAGGGAGUGAAAUUAGAAUUUUGCACCAGAUUUGCUCUUUGUGUUAUAUGUCCAAUGAAUGACAAAGUACUAUAAAUCAAUUAACAAUUAAUAAACUUUAACGAGUAUAAUUUAUGGGUAAAUACGUAUUACUCAUUUAAAAUACUGACUCUUUACGGGUAUUUUACUUUCAAACAUUUAAUUUGUGAUAAAUAUAUCAAUAUUGUAGGUAAAAUUCAAAAAAUGUUACAGUAAUAUUCUUGUAAAAAGGAAAUCGGUAGGUUAUUUAUUUAAUAUAAAUUAAAUAUUUUUUAAAAAAAAAAGAAAUGACUCAUAAAGUAUUAAUUUUUUAUAACUUUCAUCUAUUACAUGAGUAAAAUAUUCGCUCUUUAUGUGCAUUUUAUUCAUUUAAUUUAUGUUAAAUAUAUAAAUAUUUGUAACUAAAAUUGGACUUUUGGGCACGCCCUUUUCUUUUUGCUUAUAAUUCUUAGGGAUAAUUUCAAAAACCUCCCUCAGGUUUCAGACAAUUUCACUCGACUCCUCUCAAGUUUUAAAAAUUAUAUUUACCUCCCUUGACAUAGUAAAAUGCGUAUAAUGUCCUCUACUUGGUAGACAAUUUUAAAUUUAAGGCAGUAAUUUACAUAAUCCAAAAAAUAUUUUUUUUUCUGUCUCUUGUCUAUUUUAGCUUCUCUUUUUUCUAGUUAAUGUAACCUCUUUUUAUUAUCUUCAUAUUUAUGGAUAUUAGCAAAUUGAAAUUACAAAAUCAAUCGAUGGAGCAAAUUAUAUAUCAAACAAGAAGGAAACAAAGAGACUCCCAAUGAUGGAAAAAAAAAUAAUAAAAUUGAUAAUUGAAAUAGGAAGAAAAACUAAAGAUGUGAAAUUUGGCAUAUUUUAUUUGUUGUCAAGAAAAACUUUUAUAAAAUAUCAAUAUUUACGUAAGGAUUUCUUUCAUUAAAUUAGAAAAUUUUUAUUAUAAUUUUAUUGUGGAGGUAAAAUUUGUUCUUUACUUUUGAGAUAUUUAUAUUUUUAAAACCAUAGAAGGGUUGUACUGAUGGUUCUAGAUCAGAUUAACUUGUAUUGAAAAAGUAUUUGAACAUUGAAAAUUUGGGGUAUAAAAUUGGUUAUCAAUGGGGUUUGUGUGUGUUUUAUUUCUUUUUUUUUUUGUAUGACGAGUAUUGAUUAUGUAUAUACAAUUUGUAAUCUUUUGGAUGGUUAUUUGAUUUUAAAACUUAUAUUUGAACGAUCGUUCAGGAUUAAACUUGUUGAUUUGUGCAAAAUAUGGAAGAAAAUGAUUAAAUAUACUUUAUUUUUUUCUUAGUUUUGUACAAAAGGACAAUUUAUGAUUUUUGUGAGAAAAUCUAUCUUAUUGGACCAAUAUUAUUACUAAACAGUAAAAAUAGGGAGACAUAUGUAAUUUUUAAAAGUUAAAGAGAGCUCUUUAUAAUUGUUAAAAAUCUUAAGGGAUGUUUGUGAAAUUAUUCCUAUUUCUUAUUUGGUUCCUUAAGCACACAAACCAACACCACCCCACCUCCCCAAAAAAACAAAAAACCCUUAAAGGGAGGGGGGGAGUUUUAAACGGAUGAUUUAGAGAGAAAGAGAGAGAGAGAGAGGAAAAAAAAAAAGAAGCCUCCGAAAGGGUAAGUGGCAAGAAAACUUGCAACGUUAACUAGUGAAUAAAUGAAGAAAUAGGUGCAAAACAGCAGAAGUUGGAAAAAGCUUUCGCUUCUCCGAUUAAUUCUCGACUUGUUCUAGGAUCGAUGGAAAUGGCAUAAAACGAGUCUAGUUGACUCUCUGACCUCGUGGACCAAAAGAAAUUAGGGGAGGCGCAGCCGCGCAAGCCCGCUAGUUGCUAGUUUUUUUUUAUCAAAAAAAUUGUAUAUUUUUUGUGAGUAUAUUUUUUGAUUUCAUAUAUAUCAAAUCUUCCCAUUAACAAUUAUUAAUCAGAUGGACUUGUGGCGCUAAUUAGUGGUGAUUGAAUAUGCUAGAGUCAUUAUGAAUUAAAUGCUUUUUGCAGUGUUUUUAAAAAGUACUGUAUUUUUAAAAAAAUUAAAGUUUAAUCGUUUUAAGAUGUUUUUAAGAUUUUAAAAAUUUUAAAGUACUUUUGAAAGACACGAAAGUUACCUUUCUCAUCAGCCACUUCAGUGGUUUCCUUCAAUGGAAUUUUCCAUCGAUUAGAUUCUCCUUUCCCCUAAAAUAUGAUAAAAUAGGUUAGAUAAAUGUUAUCAUUAUUAAAAAUAUAUAUAUAUCACCCUCUCCUCCUCCUCUCUGUUGUGAAUGAUAGAUAUUUCAAAAGAUUUUAUUAUGCUUGUUAUGAUAAGAGGUUAUCUAAUAAAGCUUUCCAAACGUCUGUUCCUAUUCUUAGGGAGAAUUUUUUCAACGACAAAAUUUUGAUAAGGCCUAAAAGGCAAAGUCAGAACGCUAGUUAAUAUGUUUUAGCCAAAGGAAUUGUUCACGUGCUUGCUUUGACUAUUUCAAACAUUUCGGCUUUCACAAUAGAGGAUAGACCUCUGACCACUUCAAAUGCUAAAUCUGGUACGAGAUGCAUGCAUAUCCUCACGAAAAAUCAACUCUCAAAAUCCUAUCCUCUAUCACUCUAUUCCGUAUCUUGUAGCCUAUAAAUAUAACCAUUUGUCGAGUUCAUUUGCACGCUGAUCAACGAAGACUACACUUCGUGAACUCCCUAUUCCUUCUCCUCUAUUUGCUUUCUUGUUCGUGAACUCUUUCUUCCUUCUCCUCUAUUUGCUUUCCUUAAUUUUUUUUUUAUUUUACCUGCUGGUGUUGGAAUGAAAUUUUGCUGGUUCUACAUCCCUCUCACUAAACAGAGGAAGACUUGUUUAAUCCUGGGGAAACAUUUCGAUACUCUGAAAUAGUUUCUUAGGACAGUGCUUUCAAGCACGACUCAAGUGUUCAAGUGUUAGCAUUGUUCGGGCCAUUUCUCCAACAUUCUAAGAAACUAUGGCAUCUGACAAUGUUAGCACCCCACAGCCUUCAUCAGCAACUGUUGCACUGGCACUACCAUUCGCCAAGCCCUUUCCGGAUGUAUCCAAAAUUGAAAUUUUCGCCAAUGAAAAUUUUAAAAGAUGGCAAGAACGUGUGCACUCUCUACUUGACAUCCACGGAGUAGCUUAUGCGCUCACUGAAUCUCAACCUUCUGCAAUUACGGAUGCCAAGACUCAAGAAGCAUGGCAAUAUACUAAUAUGGUAUGUCGACACACUAUCCUUCAAACACUCUCUAAUGAAUUAUUUGACGUCUACUGUAGCAGCAAAGAAGCCAAGGCAAUUUGGGAAGCCUUGAUAACAAAAUUUACUGUCGAAGAUGCAACCAAGCAAAAAUUCGUCGUAGGAAAAUACAACCAAUGGCAAAUGAUUGAUGACAAGGAGAUGAAAAUUCAAAUCACCGAAUAUGAAAUGCUGCUAGAAGACUUGAAAAAUGAAGACAUCAAUCUUCCUGAGAAAUUCGCUACAGGCAUGCUGAUUGAAAAGCUACCUGAGUCAUGGGCCGACUAUAAAAAAAACUUGAAACACAAGGAGAAAAAUUAUACCAUGGAUGAGCUCGUGAAGCACAUCCUCGUUGAGGAUUCAAACAAAAGGGAGUUUAGAGCUACCAAGGCAAAGGAGAUGGCUUUCAAAACCAAUCUAGUACAAGGCAAUAAUAAAAUGUACGCCAAUAAAUCUCAGAAUUACAAGCCCAAAAAUUUUAAUUUCAAGUCUAACAAUCCCAACUUUAAGAAAAGGAAAGUCAAUUGCUUUUAUUGUAGAAAAUCAGGACAUCAUGCAUUACAAUGUAGACUUAAUAAAGGUGACAGAGCAAAUGGUAAUCCUCUUAAGGUGCACUUAACCGAAGAAGAUGAUAUAAUUGUUGCUGUCAUCUCUCAAGUGAACAUUGCAGCCAAUGUCAAAGAGUGGGUGGUAGACUCUGGGGCUACUCGACACAUAUGUGCAAAUCGAGAAGCAUUUUCCUCAUAUACUCCUAUAGGGGAUGAUGAAGAAGUGGUCUACCUUGAUGACUCACGAACGGCUAAUGUUCUGGAUAAGGGCAAAGUAUUCCUGAAACUCAAUUCAGGAAAAACUUUGGCUCUCAAUAAUGUGCUGCAUGUGCUCAACAUUCUGGCAAAUCUGGUUUCCGUAGCAUUGUUAGGAAAAGUUGGAGUGAAAGUGUCAUUUAAAUUUGGAAAGAUUAUAAUGACUAAAAAUAAUGUAUUUGUCGGCAAGGGCUAUUGUAAUCAGGAACUUUUUGUACUUAACAUUUUCAAUGUGAUAAAUGAGAAUGCUUCUUCUUCUGAUUCUAUUGUUGACUCGAUUUCUUUAUGGCAUGCAAGAUUAGGACAUGUUAAUAUUAGUUAUAUAAAGAAAAUGCAAUCUUGUGGUCUAAUUUCAAUAUGAGAUAUGUGCAGAAACUAAAAUGACAAAGAAGACUUGUAUAACUAUUCAAAGAGAAACUGAACUAUUAAAUCUAAUCCACACAGAUUUAGGUGAUUUAAACAAACUAUGACUAGAGAAGGAAAAAAAUAUUAUGUCACCUUUGUCGAUGACUACUCUAGAUAUACUAAACUUUACAUACUUAGAAAUAAAGAUGAUACUCAUAAUGCCUUCUUAUCUUAUAAGCCUGAGGUAGAAAAUUAACUUAAUAAGAAGAUAAAAAGAAUUAGGUCUGAUAGAGGAGGCGGAUAUUUAGCCUUAGAUAAAUUUUAUGAACAUGAAGGCAUAAUACACGCAACCACCUCCUUAUUCGCCAGAAUCUAAUGGAGUAGCUGAAAGAAAAAAUAGAACAUUAAAAGAAAUGAUGAAUUCUAUGUUAGUUAGUUCUCAUGCUCCUGAUAAUUUAUGGGGAGAAGCUAUUUUAUCUGCAUGUCACUUAUAAAAUAGGAUACCUCAUAAGAAAACUGGUAAAACCCUCACGAGUCAUAAAAAAUUAUAAACCUAAUUUGAAAUAUUUAAAAGUAUGGGGGUGUCUUGCUAAAGUAUUAUUGCCUGAAUCUAAAAAAAGAAAAUUAGAUUCUAAACUUCUGAUUGUAUGUUUAUUGGAUAUGCUGAAUAUAGUGCUGCGUAUAGAUUUCUUGUUUUAAGAAGUGAUGUGCUUGAUUGUAAUACAAUUAUUGAGACAAAGAAUGCUGAAUUUUUUAAACACAUUUUUCCACUGUCUAGUAAAAUUUCUCAUACACCUGUUGAAAUAAAUAGAGAAAUAAUCCCGAAUGAUGAAUUAAGAAGGAGUAAAAGGCCAAGAAAAAGAAUUUCUUAUGGAAAUGAUUUUUAAACUUUUCUUGUUGAUAAUGACCCUUUAACAUAUUUCGAUGCUUUCUUCCUUGAUUGUAAAUUUUGGAAAGAAGCAAUUAAAACUGAAAUCGAUUCUAUCUUGUCAAAUAAAAUUUGAAUUUUUGUAGAUUUACCUCCUGGUGCAAAAUCUAUUGGUUGCAAGUGAAUUUUUAAAAGUAAAUAUAACUCUGAUGGCUCUAUAGAAAAGUACAAAGCUCGUUUAGUAGCAAAAGGAUUUUCUCAAAACAAAAUAUUGACUAUUUUGAUACAUUUGCACCAGUAACAAGAAUUGCAUCUAUUCGAGUUUUAUUUGCUUUAAACCUCUAUCUUUAAACUUGUAAUUCAUCAAGUGGAUGUCAAACAGCCUUUCUAAAUGGUGAUUUAGAGGAAGAAAUUUAUGUGUUUCAACUUGAGAGGUGUAUUGUAUCUGGACAAGAAAAUAAGACUUGUAACUAAUUAAAUCUUUUAUGGCCUAAAACAAGCUCCUAAACAGUGGCAUGAGAAAUUUGAUCAAGUGUUGAUAAAAGAUGGAUUCUCGUCUGUAGAAGUGGAUAAAUGUGUGUAUGUCAAAAUUAUAAAUGAUCAAUAUGUGAUAAUCAGCUUAUAUGUGGAUGACAUACUUAUAUUUGGUACUAGUCUAGAUAUUGUAAUAGUACUAAAUACUUUUUGUCCUUUAAUUUUGAUAUGAAAGACUUAGGUGAAGCCAAUAAUAUUGGGUGUUAAUAUCAUAAGGAGAGCUGAUGGUAUAAUGUUGUCACAAGAACAUUAUACAGAAACUUCUUGAGAAGUUUGAAAAUUAUGACGCGACACCUGUGAGUAUCCUUAUGACGCUAACACUCAAUUGAGAAAAAAUAAUGGCGACCCAAUUGCUCAGUCUAAAUAUGUUCAAAUCAUUGGGAGUCUGAUGUAUCUGAUGAAUCUCACUAGACCGGAUAUAGUUUAUACUGUAUGUAGACUGAGUAGAUAUACUCACUAUCCAAUCGUGAGCAUUGGUUUGCAUUAAUCAGACUAAUGAAAUAUUUGAGAGGUACCAUGUUUUGGUAUCCUAUAUAGUGGAUUUUUCACUGUAUUAGAGGGUUACAGUGAUGCUAACUGGAUCUCUGAUCCAAACGAUACAAAUUCACUAGUGGUUAUGUGUUCACCCUUGGUGGUGGUGCGGUAGCAUGAAAAUCAACCAGACAGACAAUUAUUGCUCGGUCAACUAUGGAAUCGGAGUUCAUGCUCUAGAGUUGACUGCUCUGAGGCAGAUUGGUUAAGAAAUUUCUUAGUCAAUAUUCCUCCUAUUAAGGAUCUGUUGCCUCCUGUGUCUAUACAUGUGACUGUGAAACGGCAAUUGCUAUUGCAAAAAAUAAAUCCUAUAAUUGUAAAAGUCGACACAUGAGAUUAAGAUAUGAUGUCAUAAAGCAGCUGCUUAGGGAUGGAAUUAUUUCUAUUGAUUUUGUGAAGUCAUAGUUGAAUUUGACCGAUCCUCUAACUAAACCUGUAGAAAGAAAAUUAAUUCUUCAAAUUACAAGAGAGAUGGGACUUGGGCCAACGGUUGUCAAUAAAGAUGGUAACCCAACCUAUAUGAUUGGUGAUCCCAUGAAAUAGGUUCAUAUGGGUAAUAACAAGUCGAUAUUGACUAUAAAUCACUUGAAAUUUAAGUCCCUUCAAAGAUAAGUGCUUUGACUGCCAGUAAUUGUGAGGUUGAGUUUAAUACUCUUAAUGAAUUUAUAUCCCUUUAGGGAGGUGUAUUUAAAGCAGUACACACUUGAUAAA
rnacentral:lncRNA from 1 species